rnacentral:rRNA from 1 species
GACGAACGCUGGCGGCGUGCUUAACACAUGCAAGUCGAACGGAAAGGCCCUGCUUUUGUGGGGUGCUCGAGUGGCGAACGGGUGAGUAACACGUGAGUAACCUGCCCUUGACUUUGGGAUAACUUCAGGAAACUGGGGCUACUACCGGAUAGGAGCUCCUGCUGCAUGGUGGGGGUUGGAAAGUUUCGGCGGUUGGGGAUGGACUCGCGGCUUAUCAGCUUGUUGGUGGGGUAGUGGCUUACCAAGGCUUUGACGGGUAGCCGGCCUGAGAGGGUGACCGGCCACAUUGGGACUGAGAUACGGCCCAGACUCCUACGGGAGGCAGCAGUGGGGAAUAUUGCACAAUGGGCGGAAGCCUGAUGCAGCAACGCCGCGUGCGGGAUGACGGCCUUCGGGUUGUAAACCGCUUUCGCCUGUGACGAAGCGUGAGUGACGGUAAUGGGUAAAGAAGCACCAGCUAACUACGUG